CUUAUUAAGAACUACUUUUCAGUACAUCAAGUAGAACAGAGUUUAGUUGAAAUGAGUGAUUAGUGUUUCUUUGGAGGAAACGUUAUUUUUACUUAAAUAAUUUAAAAAAAUGAUGUAUACUUGUUCAAGCUGGAACUAGGUGUGUCAGAAGAAGCUAGAGACUGGCCCCAUAACAUGUACUACUCUCCCUGUCAAAGUGGUCAAGGACAUAAUGAACCACAGAAGCAGAUCAUAUUGCUGAACUUGGAAGACUUUGAGCUUAUAUUUUGGAAAAAUUUUGUAUCACUGCCUGUAUCUUGAAUGAGGGCAUUUUGAAAAACAUGACAAAGUCCAGUUUGGUGGUGAGCUCUGUUGAGGGCCUAGUAGGCAGCUAAGGGCCCAAAUGGGACUAUGUGUAAGGAACAAUUAAAGACAACCUGGUAAUCUCUUGGCUACUUUUAAAAGUAUGUCUUGUUCUUAGGAAGCAAUCUCUAGACCUACCCUAAUGAGAAUCUUUGGAACACUGCCUUCACCUGAUGGCUCCAUUUUAUCAGACAUUCUAGUACUAGGGGAAAUGAACCAAAAUCAAGGACGUCUGUGAAAGCAGCCGAGACUGUCUUGCUCAUCCCAAACUUACAGUUGAGAGGAAUGUAAAAGAAGAAUUUGAGGAUACAAUACAUAUUGCAGAAUCCACAUACAGUACAUUGUCAGCUCUGCAAAGUUCUGAGAACUGGAGGUCCCUGAGUCCAAUCUAGUCACCUCCUUUUCUUGUGUUUUAAGUAAGCCGAGGCCAGGGUGAUUCAGUGACAUACUCACAAGGCUUAUUUAUGUGACAAGGUGCAGCAGUAAAUGGCUGAAAAGCAAACUAAGACUUAGAUUUCUUCCCUGUUUCCUAUUAGUCAUCUUUCCAGAGUGUAUGUCUUUCUAGUAGGCCCUAUAAAAAUGAUGCCUGUAACCAACCAAAACUGCAGACUCUUCACAUAUCUCAUGAGUGCCUAAAUUAAUAAGCAAAGUGUUGGAGCAGCUUACUACAUUUCAAUGAGCUUUUCAAUUUCUAAUAAAGUUUUUUUCUCAUUAAGUGAAAUAUAAUUUGCCCUGGAGUAUAGGUGAAAACUAUACUUGUACUUGCUGGUACUUGCAUCCAUACGAAGUGCUUAUAUUAUCCUAAGGCACCAAGUUACUACCAACUGAACACUAUACUCUUAAAAACAGCCAUUUCUCUGGCUGGUCUCUUUACUUCUUCCUCCAUCUCUAAGGUUAGAUGUGGGAAGAGAGGUUGGGAAUGGAAAUGGAUUUUUGUUCUGC
rnacentral:lncRNA from 1 species